rnacentral:tRNA from 1 species
GGUGGAUGUAGCUCAGUCGGUUAGAGCGUCGGAUUGUGGUUCCGAAGGUCGAGGGUUCGAGCCCCUUCUUCCACCCCCA